UACGGGGGGGGCAAGCGUUGUUCGGAAUUACUGGGCGUAAAGGGCCCGUAGGCGGCCCGCUAAGUCGAACGUGAAAUCCCCAGGCUCAACCUGGGAACUGCGUCCGAUACUGGCAGGCUUGAAUCCGGGAGAGGGAUGUGGAAUUCCAGGUGUAGCGGUGAAAUGCGUAGAUAUCUGGAGGAACACCGGUGGCGAAGGCGGCAUCCUGGACCGGUAUUGACGCUGAGGCGCGAAAGCUAGGGGAGCAAACGGG
rnacentral:rRNA from 1 species